GAAUUUUCCAGUAAGCCAAGCUAUUUGGAACUGAGGCGUCGCGUGGAGGCCUUGGAAGAGGCAGUCCGUCCCAAAAGGUUUACAAAAUGCAGUCGUGAUGUAGUAGGAGAGUGCAAGUCCCCUCUCAACUGCGAUUCGCGAAAAGGUUUUCAUACCGUGGAUGCUUAUUGUGAUACCUUUGAGGAUGUCUGUUGUACCUGGUGAAGUCGGCCAUCAAUUUAAAGAAAAACAGCUCAAGUCGUUGUUUUUAACGAUAAAUAAUAAACGAGAUGUUUUGUAAACAGCC